CAGCCCGAGGCAGGCGAGGUGGAAGGCUCCGCAGCAGGGCCCCUCGCACAGCAGGAGGCUGCCCGGCUUCUCGCACAGCUGCGGGGCCGGGCGGAGGCGCGGCGGUGAGGACGCCCGGGCGACCCCCUCCCCCCCCACCCCCCACCCCCACCCCCACCCGGGCCCGCCCGCGGCUCCCCUGCCUCCUCCAUCCACGCCCGACUUCGCACGUUCGGAACACGCGUGCGCCACACGUCGCCACACGGCGGUGACACGUAACAGCCUCACGCGGACGCCCGAGCCCGGCCGGGGCGCUAGGUCCCGGGUCCCCCCGCGGCCCGGCGCCCUCACAACAGAAGCCCGUGUGACCGCGGGUGCGAGUGCGGGCCCGGGCCCGGGUCAAGGACAAAAGCAAGCGGCGGCCGACCCCUCACCUGACACACGUACUCCUUUUUGGCGGCCACGCCCCGCUCAGACUUCUUGGAGGAGACAGACGCUUCGGUCUGGGUCUCGUCGGCGCUCUCGUACGGGGACUCGGCGGGCUCGUCUCCCGGGCCGUCCGACACCUGGGGGCGAAGGAGGCGGCACAGGUCACCAGUGCGGGCGGAGGCGGCCCGACUCCUGCUUGGCUGCGGCCCGACUGCCAGCUCCUGGCCGCAGAGGCCCGGUGCCCACGGUUUCCUGGGAGGGCGCGGCGGGUCGACCGAACUGUAACUGUGCGGAGGCUCAGAAGCGGACUUCGCCCUCUCCGCGCGGGCAGAAGGGGCACAGAGGCACGUGUCUUCGCGUUCCUGCCAUCCUGACCAAGGAAGGAACUGGUGAAAACCCCACGUGCCCCAGCAGGUGACCUGGGACGGGCCCGGGACUGGGAAUCUUGACCUCUGUCGCCCAGUCGCUUACGGCCCAGCUUUUCACAGUAAGAGAAGCAGAUCAGCACCCAGUGACUUUCCAGAAGAGCCAGAGCGAGGGGGCAGGAGGGGAGCCUCCGCACGGCGGGCCCGGCCGCUCCUGGAAGCCGCCAGCACACGCAGUGGGCCGCGACUAACGGGCCGUCCCGACUUGCCCUCUGCCUGCCGCCCGUGGUCCCCGGACGGGUAAGCGGGCGAAGGCAAGGUCAAACCUGCCGGCUCUGGUAACGCGUGAGCCCAAGAGAAAGCCUUGGGAGAAAAACAUGGCAAUCGUGGAGCAAACAAAAGCCCCCCCCACCCCCACCCCCCGCCCCAUCCCGGUCGUAUUUCAUCCCCCUUCAUCAUCAGGGAUCAAGGAGACCAGGCUAAAGCCUCCCUCUCAUCACUGUAUGCAACGUCUUGCCCUCAUUUGAGGAGCAAGAAACCUCUAAAUAGAAAUCAAAUCUUUAGUACGAAAACAUUCUAUACCAAAUUGAAACUGAAAAAAAAAAAAAACACCUAAAAACACAUUUAGCAUUUAUUUGACGUUAGGUAAAUGGAAUGUUGAAUACUGAGUUUUUCAACACAGCAGAAGUAUAAACUACAUUUCCUGUAUACCUUGAUAACCACGACAAGUAAUUAUGUUAUAUAUAGGCCUGCCGUUUACCAAUGACUACAAAGCUAGAAAUUAAAAUCGGGCCACAAUUAAACAAAACAGAACAAACCCCACCAGCCAACCCACCCAAUUCUGUAGUCUUAUCAAUUAACCUCCUCCAGACUUAGCUCGAUGAAAUUACAGGGAACAGAAAAACACCCCAAAACACUUAGAGCUGGUGUUAGCGGGCUGGUCUUUGAGGGACACGCUGCCUCUGGCUGGUGUGUGCAUCGGUUGGCGGGGGGGGGGGGGGGGGCGGCGGGGGCAGGAGGUCGGGCCCAGCUCUCCGCCCUUGCUCCUCUAUGCUGACCCCUCCCGCAGUAACACAGUCUCAGGAGGAAGCCGCCUUUACACUCCAGUUCCUCACCUUUUCCAGGAAGACAGAAACAGCGGCAUGAACGUACACUAAGUUAUGGGGGUCUCACACAGUAGUAGGUCCCCCCUGCCCCCCAGGCUGGCCAGAUGGUGCCCCUCCCUAUCAGCUCAGCACAUUUACUCCUUUAUCAUCAACAUCCAGAAAGAAGGCAACUUGAUAAAAAAAAAAAAAAAAAAACACCCUCUGCGUUCAAACCCCAAUUUUAACAUGUCCAUCGUAUUCGGAGUCACGGAUGGGCGGGGUCUGAGACGCUAGGGGUGCUGGGGAGCCCGGGGCGUUGGGAACACCAGCCACACCUCGGGGCCCCGGUCAAAGGGCAGCCCAAGGCUGACCCGUCUGACGAGGAACCGAGGCCCAGAGAAAGGGCCUUCAACAGGGGCUCAGGGAAAGCGAGCCCAGUGCCCUGCCCACCAACCCACAUUCUUCCCUUCAAUGUGGUCGGAACAAAUUUAAAGCUUUACAAAAAAAAGAAAAAAAGAAAAAAAAAAAAAAGGAAAAAUGCAUGGAGAGAAAGACAGAAAACACAGACCAGUCCUGGGUCGAAGAAAGGAACAGCACCUUUUAUUUAAGAUUUACAGAAAAAGUUAGCACGUUUCCACUUGGAGAUAUUUCCUAAAUUAACAAAGUCUGUUUUGAGGAAAUAAACACUGAAUACAUAUUUUGAAUGGAAAUAUAAAUGUUAAGACACACAUGAGGCUUGUUUCCUGAUUGGGGUCUAAGAUACACAUACAGAAUACAGACCUUACAAUAUUACAGUCCGUGACACAGAUGCGGGAGAUUGCGACCUUCGGCCCAGCGAACCCCUUCCCAGCGACCCAACGACCACUAGCACAGUCGGAGGGAUCCACCGGCUCUCCGCUCGGCAGACCACCCACAAGAGGAGCAAAGUACGCGGGCACCGUGCCAGCCUCUACUCCGGGUGCAGGGCUCCGCCUCCACGGGCACCAGGUGACGGUACUUACUCGGAGAUGCCGUUUGUGAAAGCGACACCUUCACCCGAAUGGUCCCAACACGGUCCCAAAUCUCAGUCUACGACAUCUACGGUCUAUUCCAUAUCCAAUAGGAUGCAUUUGGAAAGAGAGAAAUGUAGUAACUGAACGGACACAGACUGUCAACAACUUUCCCGUCGCUUCCCGAUCCACCAAAGCCACACCUGUGGCACGGAUUUCCAAGCAGCUUAGUUCCUGACUUCUCCAAGUUUUCUGGAGUCUGAAAACACUUUCUCUACCCUCUACUCAGUAUGUGAUAGUAUCAAAUUGCCUAUUUGCCUUAGAAAUACGUUCCUUUAGGGGCAGGGAAUGCUGUCUCCACAGUAAAGCAGGGAUUUUUCAAGAUGAUAUUAAUGAACACAAAGUAACCUAGUGAACAUAUUUGAACCAACUUCAGGAAACAAUGUAGCCAUUUAGGGGGACUAACGAACCCCAGUCCUCUCUGCUGUGACUGGGGGGGGGGGGAACGCGCGGCCUGUGCCUCAGACGGCAGGGUACAGAGUGAUUUUUAAAUUUUUUGACAAAACAAAUCCCUUCACAAAUCG